rnacentral:rRNA from 1 species
UGGUGGAGUGAUUCGUCUGCUUAAUUGCGUUAACGAACGAGACCUUAACCUGCUAAAUAGUACUACCUUACUUCGGUAAAGUAGCUUACUUCUUAGAGGGACUUUGUGUGUUUCAGCACAAGGAAGUUUGAGGCAAUAACA